rnacentral:pre_miRNA from 1 species
UUAGCUCAUAUUUGUAUGGAAUGGGAUCGUUUGCCUACGUUUGCCGCUAGGGGCGCUGUUCUAACUGCAUACAAAAUUUAUCUA